AACGAACGCUGGCGGCAUGCCUAACACAUGCAAGUCGAACGAGACCUUCGGGUCUAGUGGCGGACGGGUGCGUAACGCGUGGGAACCUGCCCUUAGGUUCGGAAUAACUCCCCGAAAGGGGUGCUAAUACCGGAUAAUGUCUUCGGACCAAAGAUUUAUCGCCUUUGGAUGGGCCCGCGUUGGAUUAGCUAGUUGGUAGGGUAAAAGCCUACCAAGGCGACGAUCCAUAGCUGGUCUGAGAGGAUGAUCAGCCACACUGGGACUGAGACACGGCCCAGACUCCGACGGGAGGCAGCAGUGGGGAAUAUUGUACGCUGGGCGAAAGACUGAUCCAGCAAUGCCGCGUGAGUGAUGAAGGCCUUAGGGUUGUAAAGCUCUUUUACCCGGGAUGAUAAUGACAGUACCGGGAGAAUAAGCUCCGGCUAACUCCGUG
rnacentral:rRNA from 1 species